UAUCUCUGUAGAGUCUGCAUAUCAAUAAGCGGAGGAAAAGAAACUAACUAGGAUUCCCCUAGUAACGGCGAGUGAAGCGGGAAGAGCUCAAAUUUGAAAUCUUAAAGGGUUUCCCUUGACGAAUUGUAGUUUAAAGAAGUGUUUUCUGUUGGAGUUUUGGUAAAAGUUCUUUGGAAUAGGACAUCAUAGAGGGUGAGAAUCCCGUAUUUGACCAUUUACUUUCAGCUUUGUGAUACACUUUCAAAGAGUCGGAUUGUUUGAGAAUGCAGUCCAAAAUGGGUGGUAAAUUUCAUCUAAAGCUAAAUACUGGCGAGAGACCGAUAGCGAACAAGUACCGUGAGGGAAAGAUGAAAAGAACUUUGAAAAGAGAGUUAAACAGUACGUGAAAUUGUCAAAAGGGAAGCGUUUGACACCAGUGUUGUUUUCUCGAAAAUCAAUUAAAAAAGGCAGGAUUUUGUGUUGUAUUGACUUUAUCAGCUUUCUGCACUCUUUUCUUGUCUUUUUUAAUGCACUUUUCGUUUAACAAGUCAACAUCAAUUUCUUUUGUUGUAAAAGGGUCAUUGGAAGGUGACUUUCUUUUCGGAGAAAGUGUUUAUAGCCUUUGGCCUCUGCAAUCGGAGAGAUUGAGGUCUGCAGCGUAGAUCGUUCGGGGUUAGAUACAUUUGUGCUAAGUUAUAGCCUUUCAUAGACAACUUGUUGACUAUGAUCAGUCAUGUAGCUUACUCGCUUAUGCGCUAUUUUACCUACGCUUAGGAUGUUGACGAUCAGCUGAGCGCG
rnacentral:rRNA from 1 species